UUAAAAAGAAAAAAGAAAUAAAAAUGACAAUAAAUGAAAAAAUGAUUUAAAAAAUUAGGAUAAAAGUGUAUGUGAUGCAAAAUACUUUUAAGGACUUUGUGUAAAAAAAUGGAUCAGAAUGAAUUAAAAUUAGUGAGAAACUAAAUUGAAAAAGAAGUGAAAUAAAAGAAAAGAAAGAAAAAAGAAAUUAAAAUAGAAUAAGGCGCCAAAGG
rnacentral:lncRNA from 1 species